rnacentral:rRNA from 1 species
GAUGAACGCUGGCGGCGUGCCUAAUACAUGCAAGUCGAGCGAACAGACGAGGAGCUUGCUCCUCUGACGUUAGCGGCGGACGGGUGAGUAACACGUGGAUAACCUACCUAUAAGACUGGGAUAACUUCGGGAAACCGGAGCUAAUACCGGAUAAUAUAUUGAACCGCAUGGUUCAAUAGUGAAAGACGGUUUUGCUGUCACUUAUAGAUGGAUCCGCGCCGCAUUAGCUAGUUGGUAAGGUAACGGCUUACCAAGGCAACGAUGCGUAGCCGACCUGAGAGGGUGAUCGGCCACACUAAAACUGAGACACGGUCCAGACGCCUACGUGAGGCACCAGUAGGGAAUCUUCCGCAAUGGGCGAGAGCCUGACGUGGCAGCGCCGCGUGAGUGAUGAAGGUCUUCGGAUCGUAAAACUCUGUUAUUAGGGAAGAACAAAUGUGUAAGUAACUAUGCACGUCUUGACGGUACCUAAUCAGAAAGCCACGGCUAACUACGUG